rfam:Picoides pubescens contig95869, whole genome shotgun sequence.
CCCACACCCUUUCCCACAUUCUUCCUCAUGGCCAAAAGCAAAUAUUUAUUUCCCGCAUAUUUUUGCUUUAAUUUCAGGCUCCAGUUUUGAGACCUGUGGAUUCCCUCGGCCAAACACUGCUUGACAGGCAUGAAUUGGAUCGUUUUGUUUCCCUCUGGCUUCUCGAGGCUGCUUCUGAAAAUCAAGUUGCAGCUGAGGGAGGGGGAGAAGAGGGAAGGGAAAGCAGCUCUAUGGGGCAGCACUGUUUUACAUACGGGUUAGACACGGCUGGAGGCCAAGGUCAAGUUGAAAGUUGCAGUCUAGCCAAUGUGAGAACUGUCAUUCAGAGCCCUAAGAUCUGUCUGAUCUGUUAAAAAGCGGAUAGCCAUGCGAACACUAGUCUUCCCAGCUCGUCUCC